CUCAGAACUCAGUCUGCUGAGCGGAACACUGGCCCACUUCCUCCAGGCAGAUACCACCUGCAGAUGAUGCUGAAUGAACAUAGCUUCACACUCUUCACUGGACUUUGAGAAGAGAGGGACAAAGAGUACACAAGAAACAAGGAAAACUCACAGCAUGUGGUGGUCUGCUGCUGGUUCUUGUCUAGGAGGCCCCUGAGGACGGGCUGGCUGUGUGUCAG
ensembl:lncRNA